UAUCCUACAAUGGAGCCUGUACU
rnacentral:piRNA from 1 species